rnacentral:rRNA from 1 species
AGUCGAACGGCAGCACAGCAGUAGCAAUACUGUGGGUGGCGAGUGGCGGACGGGUGAGUAAUGCAUCGGGAUCUACCUAAACGUGGGGGAUAACGUAGGGAAACUUACGCUAAUACCGCAUACGUCCUACGGGAGAAAGCGGGGGAUCGAAAGACCUCGCGCGGUUAGACGAACCGAUGUUCGAUUAGCUAGUUGGUAGGGUAAUGGCCUACCAAGGCGACGAUCGAUAGCUGGUCUGAGAGGAUGAUCAGCCACACUGGAACUGAGACACGGUCCAGACUCCUACGGGAGGCAGCAGUGGGGAAUAUUGGACAAUGGGCGCAAGCCUGAUCCAGCAAUGCCGCGUGUGUGAAGAAGGCCUUCGGGUUGUAAAGCACUUUUAUCAGGAGCGAAACGCUGUCGAUUAAUACUCGGCGGAACUGACGGUACCUGAGGAAUAAGCACCGGCUAACUUCGUGCCAGCAGCCGCGGUAAUACGAAGGGUGCAAGCGUUAAUCGGAAUUACUGGGCGUAAAGCGUGCGUAGGCGGUGAGUUAAGUCUGUCGUGAAAUCCCCGGGCUCAACCUGGGAAUGGCGAUGGAUACUGGCUCGCUAGAGUGUGAUAGAGGAUGGUGGAAUUCCCGGUGUAGCGGUGAAAUGCGUAGAGAUCGGGAGGAACAUCAGUGGCGAAGGCGGCCAUCUGGAUC